rnacentral:rRNA from 1 species
UACAGAGGGUGCAAGCGUUAAUCGGAAUUACUGGGCGUAAAGCGUGCGUAGACGGUUAUGUAAGUCAGAUGUGAAAGCCCAGGGCUCAACCUUGGAAUUGCAUUUGAGACUGCAUAGCUAGGGUGCGGAAGAGGGAAGCGGAAUUUCCGGUGUAGCGGUGAAAUGCGCAGAUAUCAGGAAGAACACCCGUGGCGAAGGCGGCUCUCUGGGACGGUACUGACGCUGAGACGCGAAAGCGUGGGGAGCGAACAGG